CGGACGGGUGAGUAAUGUCUGGGAAACCGCCUGAUGGAGGGGGAUAACUACUGGAAACGGUAGCUAAUACCGCAUAACGUCUUCGGACCAAAGUGGGGGACCUUCGGGCCUCACGCCAUCGGAUGUGCCCAGAUGGGAUUAGCUAGUAGGUGGGGUAAUGGCUCACCUAGGCGACGAUCCCUAGCUGGUCUGAGAGGAUGACCAGCCACACUGGAACUGAGACACGGUCCAG
rnacentral:rRNA from 1 species